UACAGAGGUCUCAAGCGUUGUUCGGAUUCAUUGGGCGUAAAGAGCUCGUAGGCGGCCACUCAAGUCGAAUGUGAAACCUCGAGGCUUAACCUCGAGCCUGCAUUCGAUACUGGGCGGCUAGAGUCUGGUAGGGGGAUCUGGAAUUCCGCGUGUAGCAGUGAAAUGCGUAGAUAUGCGGAGGAACACCGAUGGCGAAGGCAAUCCCCUGGGCCUGUACUGACGCUCAUGCACGAAAGCGUGGGGAGCAAACAGG
rnacentral:rRNA from 1 species